rnacentral:rRNA from 1 species
AGGACGAACGCUGGCGGCAUGCCUAACACAUGCAAGUCGAACGGAGUAUCAGGGGCUUGCUCUUGAUACUUAGUGGCGAACGGGUGAGUAACGCGUGAGCAACCUGCCUUCAAAACCGGGAUAACACAGAGAAAUUUGUGCUAAUACCGGAUAAGACCACAGUGUCGCAUGACACAGUGGUAAAAAACUCAGGUGAUUGAAGAGGGGCUCGCGACCCAUUAGCUUGUUGGCGGGAUAACAGCCCACCAAGGCGACGAUGGGUAGCCGACUUGAGAGAGUGAUCGGCCACACUGGAACUGAGACACGGUCCAGACUCCUACGGGAGGCAGCAGUGGGGAAUAUUGGGCAAUGGAGGAAACUCUUUAACCCCCAGCAAUGCCGCGUGAGUGAAGAAGGUCGUAAGAUUGUAAAGCUCUUUAAUUGGGGACGAAGACAGUGACGGUACCCAAAGAAUAAGCCCCGGCUAACUACGUGCCAGCAGCCGC